GGGGGUUGUAAUUUUGGGGGACAUAAACAUUCAAAUCGUAACAAUGGCAAAAUCUCGGUUACUUCACAGUGGGCCACACAGGGCCAAAUGUCUGAGCUCCAAAUGUCUCUGGAGCAUGCACAGAGCCAGCGGCCUGGGACACAGAGGGUUAAGGAGCAGGCUUGCUUGAUGCCUGUACUCAUUAGAAGGUGUGAUGCCACAUACAUAAAAUUGCAGGUGUGAUUCCCAUCAGGGAGCCAUGCACUUCAGCUACGCAGGGGUUAGGAAGUCUCUGUGAGCUUGCAAGGGAGGAUGAAGGGUCCCUGUUGGGUUGGUACAACUCGCACGCCCUGGGCAGGAACAGACAGAGGAACAACUGCCUAAAGAAAAAAGCAAAGGAACUGUGGGAGGGACAUGCAGCCUAACCCCAGCCCAGCUAAGAGCAGCCCAGUCCAGCCCUAUGUGGUAUGUGAGAAUAUUUACAGCACAAAGCAGGUAAGCCAGGGACCUAACAAGGGAGGCAGGGUGCAUGGGAACCUGAAGGGACUAUGACAUCAGAGCAGUGACAUCACAGCCUAACAUCUGAAUCAAAGAUGUGAUGCCCAAAACCCCAGCUCUCAGAGGACCAGUACCCCUAGCAGGUUGACAUCUGCCCAGCUCUGUCUCACCUGGCCAUAGGCUCCAGGUGCCUCUGAUGGAAAGGCCUUUGUCUCCUGGGAGUGGGCACAGUGGAUUCUGCUGUACAGAACAGGGAGCACUGCAUCUCAGGAAGCCUGCAAGGGGAGGACACAGCACAGUGACAUCACAGGAUACCCCUCCCAUCAGGAAAAGCGAGGCUGAGAACUCAGCUCCUCCCCAGGAGGACCGAGCCCUGAGCACAGGCAGAGUGUUGCCUGACCCUUCGUGCCAUGGGCUUCAGGCUGCUCUGUUGGGUGCUGCUUUGUCUCCCGGGAGCAGGCCUGGGAGAGGCUGGAGUCACCCAAACUCCAAGACACCUGAUCAAAAUGAGAGGACAGCAAGUGACUCUGAGAUGCUCCCCUAUCUCUGGGCACACCAGCGUGUCCUGGUACCAACAGGCCCCAGGACAGGGCCCUCAGUUCAUCUUUGAAUACUACAAUGAGAUGCCGAAUGAAAAAGGAAACUUUCCUGCUCGAUUCUCAGGGCUCCAGUUCUCUAACUAUAGCUCUGAGAUGAAUGUGAGCGCCUUGGAGCUGGGGGACUCGGCCCUUUAUCUUUGUGCCAGCAGCUUGGCACAGCCCUACAAAGCCAACCACAUUCUGUGCACAAACCUCCCUGGCCCAAUGUGGAGCAACCUCAGCCCUGACGUAUCUGUGAGAAUCUGGGGACUGCAGGGGGAAAGAAAGGUUCCUCUCAUGCAUCCUAGCAUGCUAAUUGCAAUGCUACCUGCUGGCUCUAAUAACAUCAUAGUUGGAGAUCAGUGUAUCCUGCAGACAGUGGUGAAGGGAAAGAAGUCCGAAGAGGUGCCAUGA